rnacentral:tRNA from 1 species
GGCUUGUAGCUCAGGUGGUUAGAGCGCACCCCUGAUAAGGGUGAGGUCGGUGGUUCAAGUCCACUCAGGCCUACCAG